rnacentral:lncRNA from 1 species
GUUUUUUCAAUGGCCAUACAGCUCAGCGCACCACGCCAAAAAAUUCUCUUCAGGAAGGAGGACCAGAACACCGUUGUUCUGGGGCACAAGGCAGCAAACGCAUCCAAGUCUCUUUUUAUGUUCCACAACAAGUCCGCACUCCUUCUGUAAGCAAGGUCAUUUUCCCCUAAUUGAAUGACAAGGAUGCCAGGAGGGCCGAACGUGGCGACUUUUCCCACAGCAAUGGCAUAAGCUCUUCCCAGCGCAUGCCUGUUCUCGAGAACCAGGAAACUCGAACACCGUGUGGCAGACCAAGAUUAGGCGCAAGGCCGCAGCUGACUGCCCAUACGCGGGCCCAAUGGACUAUACUGUGGCCGCAAAUCCACACGCUUCUCCUGAUCACAGCUGAGGAUAAAAGGACAGAAAAGGAGGUAAGUAGGGGUAAUAUAGCAGAGCGCAUUCUAGCGAAUAUAACUUUUAUAAGCAUUGGAUUUCCGUUUUGGAUUGAUGUAUCCACACCGCCGUGCUAGCUUCAGACAACUGCAAGUCUUCCGUGAGGAGGCCGCGCGUUGACCUAGUUGCAUUAACCUCAGCUACUACUUCACCGACCCUCAAGGCGCCAAAAGGUGAUCGCAUAUGCAGCGGGGGGAAAAAGGCAGGCCUCAAACUUGGUCCAGCAGAUUGACCUAAACUUUGUGCAUAUCUGAGAGAGCAGCCCGUAAGGAAUUGGCUUAGCAUAUGCUGCGGCUUAUGGCCCUCGGCUCUAUGGGGUUACAGCUUACCCCAACCUUCAAUAGCUCUGCGGAUCAGGAAGUCACUGCACGGGUCGGAGGAAAACAUGGCUUUACAAAGAAGCUGAUGGCGGCUACGUGUAUCUUUAACGAUUUGGGGGCCCGGCCUAAAGGAGGCUAUAACGUAUGCCGCAGAGAACACCCGGGCCUCGAACUUGGACCAGCAAAUUGACCUAAGUUUCAUAUGGAUUUGGGACAGCAGCUUGUAAGAAAUAGGCUUACGGCCUUUGUUACUUGGAGGCUGCAGUCACCUGCAACCUUCAGUUGCCCUGCGGACCAUAAAGUCACAGCACAAAUCGGUGGAAAAACAUGGGUCUACUAAAGAAUGUGAUAGCGGCUAUGUGUAUCCUCAAAGUUUCAGAGGCUCAACCUAGGCCAUGAAGGUGUGUUAAGUAUUGCAGAACGUUUUCUGUGGAGGGUGUAACAUUGGUGGAAAGGGAAGAUACUUUGGACCUGAACCCCAUGAAAUCACACCAGACCUUCUUAUAUGAUCUAAGCGUAGAGGGUGCGACAGAUGCUAAUACUCCCUUAAUCACUUCACGUCUCCAAGGUUCCACAGGUGCUCCGGAAUGGGUUCUGGCAGUGGCUGAGCCCUGGGAGCUAAUGCUCGGAAGCGAGGCACUGGAGGACGAAUGAUUGGAGUAGGCGCGACACCCUCUCGGAACGCGAUGACUGUUAAGCCAGUAAGUUGACCACUGCCUGGUUAUCAGUUCUGAAGCACACCCGGCGAUUCUGGAACUCCUCAGUCCAAAUGUGAACAGCCACAACUAAGGGGGGAAAAACUCCAGAAAAGUGAGAUCCCACGUGAUAGCCUCGCCUUGCUCCUCUGCUGGCCA